rnacentral:lncRNA from 7 species
UCUCUUGAGCUUAUACCUUUUGAGUUUUUCUGUUGUGUCCAUCACUACAGAGUCAACUGUGUUGUUUAGCUUUUACUUUUCAAGAGAGAGCAGCAAAGUAGCAUAUGUUAUAUCUUAUCCUUAAUCUGAGGGAGCCUUGAUUUCUGAGUUGAUCACCAUUUCAAGAGUUGCACACCGUUCAUCUUUCUGUCAACUUUUCUUGGGAAGGAAGCAUAUAUGUGACAACAUUUAAUUUUCCACCACUUCUGCAAUGUUCUUCUAACUGAGAAGUAGGAGAUGUCAUUUACUAGCAGAAUAUAAAUAGAGUCUAUGAACUGAGCUGCUCUGGAGUCAGAAUGGAAAUGUAGCAAAUACAUUUAUAUUUGCCUUCAUUCUGCUCCCACGUUCCUUUCAGGAAAAUGUUUCUCCUUCAAAAUCUUCAGAGUAGCAUAAGGAAGUCAGCAUGUAAUUCCAAUGAGUCCUUUUAGGACCCAGAGUAUGCAGUGUAGAGAUACUAAAUUCUCAGUGUUUGGAGGCAUAUGCUAGGUCUGUAAUUUUUCAUUAAAAAGAAACAGAAAUUGUUUUAGAAGGUGCAUGUCAUCCUGACUGCCACUGCACAGCUCAUAAAUCUGGACCUUGUUUUAAUUUAAUGUGUCAGAAAAUGACUCAUUUGUUCAUAACUACAUUAAUUCAUUCACAGCAGCACUUUAUAAAGGAGGCCCAGCUACUGUAAAACUAAUAAUCUCAGACUAUCCACUCUCUUGAAAACAAGAAUACUUCUCAUGAUUGGCAGAAGCAUGCCUGGGCUAGAAAAAGGAGUUGUGCUUCAAAUUGUGUUGGGCAUAGUAACCUCAAUAACAGGUAUUCUUAGAAAGUAUGAGCUUUCCUUACCCAAAUUAAUUAGAUUAAUUUAAAAUAAUCCUACUAAAAAUAUUAAAAUAUUUUCACUGUUGUUAGGAAUAUUUUUAAAUUUGGGUUUAUAGGUGUUUUUUUUUAAUGAUCUGCAAUAAUGGUUUGAGCUUUUCUUUGUCACCCAUAGGGGUAACAGUUUGUGAACUUCCGUGUUUUGAUGGAUGUUGAGGAUCUUAUAUAGCACCUUCUUGAUAGUUGUCAUGACAAUUAUUUUACAUGCACUGUAACUAUAAUGAUGUCACAAAAGGUGGUAAAACAUUAGUGAAGUUAAUUCAAUAGAUGAAGUUUGAAGUGAACUCUGCAUACAUUACAGGCAGGGGAGGCUGCCUGCGUUCAUAUAACUUGUCAUUCAUUAUCAUUUCCUAUGCUAUGUACUGUAUAUCAAAACAUGUAAGGAAGUUAGUCUUGUUAGUCUUAGUUUUGCCUCCCUAACAUCUAUAUGUAGAUAAAGAUUUGGAAAUAAAAUACCUCCUUCCUGGACAGAU